UCCAGCUUCUAGAAGCCACCUGCUUGGCUUGUGCCCUCUUCCUCACAUCACUCCAACCUCUUGCUAGGCCCAUCUCCUACUGCUCACUCUGACCCUCCUAGGUACUUCUUAUAUAAAGAAUCCUUGUGAUUAGAUUGAGUCCACCAGGAUAAUCCAGGAUAAUCUCUCCAUCUCGAGAUCUUCAACUUAAUCUGCAAAGUUGUUAUUGCCAAAGCUGAAGUAAAGAGAAAGAGAGGAAUUUUAUCAUUCGGUGGACCCAAUUUCAGCAUGACUUCAGAAUCCAAAUAACCUUUCAUUAAAGAGAAGAAAAGAAGUGGGAGAACCUAACAACAAAACAGGCCUACAUGAUGCCCAAAGUUAUUAUUCCUCUGUCCUAGUCUGUGUAUGAUGUCAUCAUUCUUGAGGAAAACUUCCUGUCAAGGAGAGUCUCAGGUCGUACUUUAAUGAGAGAAGAGAGGGAGAAGAAAACUGAGUAAGCGAUGAACGUGAAUUCUCCACACCAAACCUGGACUAACGGCAUCCAGUCAUUUUUUCCACGAGAAAGCGAUUCAGUUUGCUUUUGGAGCAAAUUAAGCUGCUAUUGUGAAAAUAAAGCUGCUGACAAGAUUUGAACUACAUAAGGGUCUGAUGAUGCAUGAAUCCCUUCUAGGGGCAGGACCAAGAUGACCUUUAAUGGAUUGGCUGUGAGGUGGGAAGAAAUCAGAAUCUUAAAGAGACUAGAAACUCCCUAUAAAAAGCAGAAUUAUAGCUCCAGAAGUGUUUCCAUGGUAAUGAUGUUAAAGGGAGGUUAUAAAGGAGAAAAGUCCAGCAUAUCAUCAAGGAGAAAAAGUGAAGAGAUACAAAUCAAGUCACUAUGGUCAGCUUCGUGGACAAAGAUGACUUCCACAUUACAUCAAAAAAAAGAAAGGGAAAAGAAUUAAAGAGUGAGACUUUGUGACUUUGUGGACCAUUUAGUUCUGUAUUCUACAUAAUGUCAACCAUCUAACAUUUUAUGGUUUUGUAAAAAUCCAGAUAUUGGCAUCUUGAGGGAAAUAUCUCUAGAAAAUGGACUGUAUCUUUCAAAGUUUUAAUAUAAUUUCUACCAACAAUCAAUUGGCACAAAUCAAUCAUCAUCUUCAUCAUCAGUAAUUGUUUUUAAAUACAUAUGGAGCACAAAUGAUGUUAUGGACCUAUCCUAGGCAUUACGUGUGUACAUAUAUUGGUGUGAGGAUGAGUUCUUUCUAAUGAGAGCUUAUAGCUGUCUUGGGGAGGCUGGAUAUGUUGAUAAAGAAUAAA